rnacentral:rRNA from 1 species
GAUGAACGCUAGCUACAGGCUUAACACAUGCAAGUCGAGGGGAAACGAUAUUGGAAGCUUGCUUCCGAUAGGCGUCGACCGGCGCACGGGUGAGUAACGCGUAUCCAACCUGCCCAUCACUUGGGGAUAACCUUGCGAAAGUAAGACUAAUACCCAAUGACGUCUCUAGAAGACAUCUGAAAGAGAUUAAAGAUUUAUCGGUGAUGGAUGGGGAUGCGUCUGAUUAGCUUGUUGGCGGGGUAACGGCCCACCAAGGCGACGAUCAGUAGGGGUUCUGAGAGGAAGGUCCCCCACAUUGGAACUGAGACACGGUCCAAACUCCUACGGGAGGCAGCAGUGAGGAAUAUUGGUCAAUGGACGAGAGUCUGAACCAGCCAAGUAGCGUGCAGGAUGACGGCCCUAUGGGUUGUAAACUGCUUUUAUAAGGGAAUAAAGUGAGUCUCGUGAGACUUUUUGCAUGUACCUUAUGAAUAAGGACCGGCUAAUUCCGUG